rnacentral:rRNA from 1 species
GUAGGGGGCUAGCGUUGUCCGGAAUCAUUGGGCGUAAAGAGCGCGUAGGCGGCCAGAUAAGUCCGGUGUGAAAGUCACAGGCUCAACCUGUGAAUGCCGCUGGAAACUGUCUGGCUAGAGUCCGGGAGGGGCGAGUGGAAUUCCUGGUGUAGCGGUGAAAUGCGCAGAUAUCAGGAGGAACACCAAUGGCGAAGGCAGCUCGCUGGAACGGUACUGACGCUGAGGCGCGAAAGCGUGGGGAGCAAACAGGAUUAGAUACCCUGGUAGUCCACGCCGUAAACGAUGGGCACUAGGUGUGGGAGGUGUCGACUCCUCCCGUGCCGUAGCUAACGCAUUAAGUGCCCCGCCUGGGGAGUACGGCCGCAAGGCUAAA